rnacentral:rRNA from 1 species
UAGCUUGGUGGUUAUAGCAUGAGU